UUAAGUUCAGCGCGUAUUCCUACCUGAUCCGAGGUCAACCUUGAGAAGUUUCCUACUGAGAGGAGAAGACCGGGUCCCGGGCGCCCUUGUCCGAUACGUGCUCGAUGAAAAGCUCAGUGUACCGGGGGAACCACAGGCCGCCGUCAUUGUCUUUCGGAGGGUCGAGUCGCUCGACCGGCCGUCCAACACCAAGCACGGGG
rnacentral:misc_RNA from 1 species